CACAGCUGCUCUGGGCACCCUGUGCCAGGGCCUGCCCACCCUCACAGGGAGGAAUUUCUUCCCAAAAUCCAUCGUGGCUCCUAAUUCCUGGGAAAGCGUCUGAGCUCAGUAAAAGCAAUUGUUUAAGCUGAAACAGAAGAAAAUAAAUUGUCAUUACAACACAUUCCAGGCUGGCACGUGCUAGGGAUGUUCCUAAUUAGUGGCGUGGUGGCAAGGAAAAGGAAAGGGGAAUGUUAAAGCAAGACCGUGGGCAGAUGCAGAGGAGGAGCCCCGUCAGGGAAGAUGUCCACAAAGUCUCUUCAACCACACAUCCUCCGAACUGUUCCCGGGAGAGGACGGUGGAGCCGAAGCUGGCUUAGCCCCUGCGCUGGUCCGAGCUGCGGCAGGACGGGAUGCUUCGGUGCCAGCCUGGGAACGUGGGGUGAGGAAAGGACGGGAGCGGGCAGCCUGGAUGGAAACGAAGCACUGAUGGAUCUGCCGGCUCCCCUGCCGAACGAGAGGCCAGACUGGACCAGCAGAAGACCCAAAUCCAGAACAGCUGGGAUGAAAAGUUUCCUGGACAGCUGUUUUAGCACCCCGGCACUCAGUGGAGAAUCCAGAUGCUUCCUCACAUCUGAAACUUUCUGGGAAGUCUCCUGUGCUCCUCUUGAAGUGUCCAAGGCCAGGAGGGACAAGAGCUGUGAGCUGGUUGCAAACAGCAGCACUCAACUUCUUCUCCCCUGCUUGACACAUCCAGGGACUGAGCUGCUACUUCCAGACACCGUGGUGUGACAAAUCUGCUGCAGCCUCUUUGCACUGACUGCACCUCAUUACGGAAGGAUUGUUCCUGUUUGGAUCUCCCGAGUGUGCUGUACAGCCUUGGUAUUAGGUCGAGGAGGAAGCACAAUUCCAGGGGAAACGUGAGGUCAGUGAAGCUUUAGCUUCAGCCUGGCAAUUAAUUUCACAGAAUCCCAGGGUGGUUUGGGUGGGAAGGAACCUUAAAGCUCAUC